rnacentral:rRNA from 1 species
GAUGAACGCUGGCGGCGUGCCUAAUACAUGCAAGUCGAGCGAACGGACGAGAAGCUUGCUUCUCUGAUGUUAGCGGCGGACGGGUGAGUAACACGUGGAUAACCUACCUAUAAGACUGGGAUAACUUCGGGAAACCGGAGCUAAUACCGGAUGAUAUUUUGAACCGCAUGGUUCAAAAGUGAAAGACGGUCUUGCUGUCACUUAUAGAUGGAUCCGCGCUGCAUUAGCUAGUUGGUAAGGUAAUGGCUUACCAAGGCAACGAUGCAUAGCCGACCUGAGAGGGUGAUCGGCCACACUGGAACUGAGACACGGUCCAGACUCCUACGGGAGGCAGCAGUAGGGAAUCUUCCGUAAUGGGCGAAAGCCUGACGGAGCAACGCCGCGUGAGUGAUGAAGGUCUUCGGAUCGUAAAACUCUGUUAUUAGGGAAGAACAUAUGUGUAAGUAACUGUGCACAUCUUGACGGUACCUAAUCAGAAAGCCACGGCUAACUACGUG